rnacentral:tRNA from 1 species
UCAGGGUGUGGCCGAGUUAGUUAAGCACCUCACUUACACCGAGAAGACAUCCA